GCUGAGCUUGGUAGCUUGGGCUUGUCACUCGAGCGAAAGCUUUGAGUUGGUUGGAGCUUGUCUUGUUCCAGACGGUGGGGUAGAAGAGCAGCAUGAUAUGGCAAGGCCACCGAACACCUAAUGGACCAAGUUAAACCAACAACCAGUUUU
rnacentral:SRP_RNA from 1 species